AUUGAACGCUGGCGGCAUGCCUUACACAUGCAAGUCGAACGGUAACGGGCCUUCGGGUGCCGACGAGUGGCGAACGGGUGAGUAAUACAUCGGAACGUGCCCGAUCGUGGGGGAUAACGAGGCGAAAGCUUUGCUAAUACCGCAUACGAUCUACGGAUGAAAGCAGGGGACCGCAAGGCCUUGCGCGGACGGAGCGGCCGAUGGCAGAUUAGGUAGUUGGUGGGAUAAAAGCUUACCAAGCCGACGAUCUGUAGCUGGUCUGAGAGGAUGAUCAGCCACACUGGGACUGAGACACGGCCCAGACUCCUACGGGAGGCAGCAGUGGGGAAUUUUGGACAAUGGGCGCAAGCCUGAUCCAGCCAUGCCGCGUGCGGGAUGAAGGCCUUCGGGUUGUAAACUGCUUUUGUACGGAACGAAAAGCCUUCUUUUAAUACAGGAGGGUCAUGACGGUACCGUAAGAAUAAGCACCGGCUAACUACGUG
rnacentral:rRNA from 1 species